CGGAACGUGUCCUGUUGUGGGGGGAGUAACUGAUCGAAAGAUCAGCUAAUACCGCAUGAGACCUGAGGGUGAAAGCGGGGGAUCGCAAGACCUCGCGCGACAGGAGCGGCCGAUGUCUGAUUAGCUAGUUGGUGAGAUAAAAGCUUACCAAGGCGACGAUCAGUAGCUGGUCUGAGAGGAUGAUCAGCCACAUUGGGACUGAGACACGGCCCAGACUCCUACGGGAGGCAGCAUG
rnacentral:rRNA from 1 species